rnacentral:rRNA from 1 species
CACGUAGUUGGCCGGGGCUUCUUCUGCAGGUACCGUCACUAUCGUCCCUGCUGAAAGCGGUUUACGACCCGAAGGCCUUCAUCCCGCACGCGGCAUCGCUGCGUCAGGCUUUCGCCCAUUGCGCAAGAUUCCUAACUGCUGCCUCCCGUAGGAGUCUGGGCCGUGUCUCAGUCCCAGUGUGGCUGGACAUCCUCUCAGACCAGCUACCCGUCGUUGCCUUGGUAGGCCAUUACCCCACCAACAAGCUGAUAGGCCGCGAGCCCAUCCCGAAGCGAAUCCAUUUCUUCACCUCGCCAUGCGACAUGGUGAAGGCAUCCGGUAUUGCUACCGGUUUCCCGGUGUUAUCCCGGUCUUCGGGGCAGGUUGCUCACGUGUUACGCCACCCGUUCGCCACUUUCCCACCGGCAACGCCCGGGCUUCGACGUUCGACUUGCAUGUUUUAAGCGUGCCGCAGCGUCUCUGCGC